rnacentral:rRNA from 1 species
UACGAAGGGGGCCAGCGUUGCUCGGAAUCACUGGGCGUAAAGGGUGCGUAGGCGGGUUUUUAAGUCAGGGGUGAAAUCCUGGAGCUCAACUCCAGAACUGCCUUUGAUACUGAAGAUCUCGAGUCCGGGAGAGGUGAGUGGAACUGCGAGUGUAGAGGUGAAAUUCGUAGAUAUUCGCAAGAACACCAGUGGCGAAGGCGGCUCACUGGCCCGGUACUGACGCUGAGGCACGAAAGCGUGGGGAGCAAACAGG